rnacentral:rRNA from 1 species
CCUACGAGCGGCUGCAGUGGGGAAUAUUGCACAAUGGGGGAAACCCUGAUGCAGCGACGCCGCGUGAGCGAUGAAGUAUUUCGGUAUGUAAAGCUCUAUCAGCAGGGAAGAAAAUGACGGUACCUGACUAAGAAGCCCCGGCUAACUACGUUCCAGCAGCCGCGGUAAUACGUAGUGGGCAAGCGUUAUCCGGAUUUACUGGGUGUAAAGGGAGCGUAGACGGCUGUGCAAGCCAGAUGUGAAAGCCCGGGGCUAAACCCCGGGACUGCAUUUGGAACUGUGUGGCUGGAGUGUCGGAGAGGCAGGCGGAAUUCCUAGUGUAGCGGUGAAAUGCGUAGAUAUUAGGAGGAACACCAGUGGCGAAGGCGGCCUGCUGGACGAUGACUGACGUUGAGGCUCGAAAGCGUGGGGAGCAAACAGGAUUAGAUACCCGGUAGUC